rnacentral:rRNA from 1 species
UGGGGAAUCUUCCGCAAUGGGCGAAAGCCUGACGGAGCAAUGCCGCGUGAGUGAAGAAGGCCUUCGGGUUGUAAAACUCUGUCCUUAUCGAAGAGAGGUGGGUAUGUGAAUAAUGUACUCAUAGGACGGUAGAUAAGGAGGAAGCCCCGGCUAACUACGUGCCAGCAGCCGCGGUAAUACGUAGGGGGCGAGCGUUGUCCGGAAUCACUGGGCGUAAAGGGCGCGUAGGCGGUUUAAUAAGUCAGUGGUGAAAACUGAGGGCUCAACCCUCAGCCUGCCACUGAUACUGUUAGACUUGAGUAUGGAAGAGAGAAUGGAACUCCUAGUGUAGCGGUGAAAUGCGUAGAUAUUAGGAGGAACACCAGUGGCGAAGGCGAUUCUCUGGGCCCAAGACUGACGCUGAGGCGCGAAGCGUGGGGGAGCAAACAGGAUUAGAUACC